rnacentral:tRNA from 1 species
GCACUGGUGGUGGAAUUGGUAGACACGCUAUCUUGAGGGGGUAGUGUCGCAAGACGUGCGGGUUCAAGUCCCGCCCAGUGCA